rnacentral:rRNA from 1 species
CCUACGGGAGGCAGCAGUGAGGAAUAUUGGUCAAUGGACGAGAGUCUGAACCAGCCAAGUAGCGUGAAGGAUGACUGCCCUAUGGGUUGUAAACUUCUUUUAUAUGGGAAUAAAACGUUCCACGUGUGGGAUUUUGUAUGUACCAUAUGAAUACGGAUCGGCUAACUCCGUGCCAGCAGCCGCGGUAAUACGGAGGAUCCGAGCGUUAUCCGGAUUUAUUGGGUGUAAAGGGAGCGUAGGUGGAUUGUUAAGUCAGUUGUGAAAGUUUGCGGCUCAACCGGAAAAUUGCAGUUGAAACUGGCAGUCUUGAGUACAGUAGAGGUGGGCGGAAUUCGUGGUGUAGCGGUGAAAUGCUUAGAUAUCACGAAGAACUCCGAUUGCGAAGGCAGUUCACUGGACUGCAACUGACACUGAGGCUCGAAAGUGUGGGUAUCAAACAGGAUUAGAUACCCCAGUAGUC